GGGUCAGUAGGUUGGUCGUGCCACCGGUACGUACUGGUCUCACUGAUUCCUCCUUCCUGAAGAACCGUAAUGCCAUUAAUUUGGUGUUGCGGGGAAACAGGACUGUUACUUUGAAAAAAUUAGAGUGUUUAAAGCAAGCUAACGCUUGAAUACAUUAGCAUGGAAUAAUGAAAUAGGACGAUCGAUCCUAUUUUGUUGGUUUCUAGGAUUGACGUAAUGAUUAAUAGUGGUAGUUGGG
rnacentral:rRNA from 1 species